rnacentral:rRNA from 1 species
CAGCNAUGCCGCGAUGGGUGAAGAAGGCCUUCGGGUUGUAAAGCCCUUUUGUCCGGAAAGAAAAGCUUUCGGCUAAUACCCGGAAGUUCUGACGGUACCGGAAGAAUAAGCACCGGCUAACUUCGUGCCAGCAGCCGCGGUAAUACGAAGGGUGCAAGCGUUACUCGGAAUUACUGGGCGUAAAGCGUGCGUAGGUGGUUCGUUAAGUCUGAUGUGAAAGCCCUGGGCUCAACCUGGGAAUUGCAUUGGAUACUGGCGGGCUAGAGUGCGGUAGAGGAUGGCGGAAUUCCCGGUGUAGCAGUGAAAUGCGUAGAGAUCGGGAGGAACAUCCGUGGCGAAGGCGGCCAUCUGGACCAGCACUGACACUGAGGCACGAAAGCGUGGGGAGCAAACAGGAUUAGAUACCCUGGUAGUCCACGCCCUAAACGAUGCGAACUGGAUGUUGGGAGCAACUAGGCUCUCAGUAUCGAAGCUAACGCGUUAAGUUCGCCGCCUGGGGAGUACGGUCGCAAGACUG